rnacentral:misc_RNA from 1 species
CCGUAACUUUACUAUUACCCCCCUCACUCGCCGGGGAAUUACGAGCCCAAGCUUAAAACCCAAAGGACUUGACGGUACCCCAAUCCCCCUAGAGGAGCCUGUUCUUUAAUCGAUGACCCCCGUUAAACCUCACCACUUCUAGCCCAUCCGCCUGUAUACCUCCGUCGCCAGCCCACCGCCUGAGCGCAUAAGAAAGUGGGCCUAAAGAGGCCAUCCCCCUCACGUCAGGUCAAGGUGCAGCAUAUGAAGCGGAAAGAAAUGGGCUACACUCUCUAACCUAGAAAAUACAAAAGACUACCCUGAAACACCAGUCUGAAGGCGGAUUUAGCAGUAAAAAGAAAAAAGAGAGUUCUUUUUAACCCGGCCCUGGGGUGCGUACACACCGCCCGUCGCCCUCUUCGAUAACACUUUAAUAGUAAAUAACAUCUCACUACAAAACAGAGAAGAGGUAAGUCGUAACAUGGUAAGUGUACCGGAAGGUGUACUUGGAAUAACAAAAUGUAGCUUAACUAAAGCCCCUCGCUUACACCGAGCAAAUGCCUGUGCAACCCAGGCCAUCUUGAGCCGAAAGUCUAGCCACAACUCACUACACAAACCACAGAUAAUACAUAAAAUAAAACAUUUUCCACUUUUUAGUAAAGGCGAUCGAAAAACUACUAAGAGCCAUAGAUGAAGUACCGUAAGGGAAAAAUGAAAUAGAAAUGAAACAACUUUAAAGCAAUAUAAAGCAGAGCCCAACACUCG